rnacentral:rRNA from 1 species
UUCGCAAUGCCCGAAAGGGUGACGAAGCGACGCCGCGUGGGUGAAGAAGGCCUUCGGGUUGUAAAACCCUGUCAGGAGUUAUGAAAUGUAAGUGUGCUAAUAUCGUGCUUAUUUGACAAAGGCUCCAAAGGAAGCCACGGCUAACUCUGUGUCAGCAGCCGCGGUAAUACAGAGGUGGCGAGCGUUGUUCGGAAUUAUUGGGCGUAAAGAGCACGUAGGUGGGUUUGCAAGUCAGAUGUGAAAGCCUUCUGUUCAACGGGAGAAUUGCAUCUGAAACUGCUAAUCUUGAGUAUAGGAGGGGAGAAUGGAACUUCUGGUGGAGCGGUGAAAUGCGUAGAUAUCAGAAGGAACGCCGGCGGCGAAAGCGAUUCUCUGGCCUAUUACUGACACUCAGUGUGCGAAAGCUAGGGGAGCAAACGGGAUUAGAUACCCCGGUAGUCCUAGCCGUAAACGAUGGGCACUAAGUAGA